UAGGGAAUCUUCCGCAAUGGGCGAAAGCCUGACGGAGCAACGCCGCGUGAGUGAUGAAGGUCUUCGGAUCGUAAAACUCUGUCAUUAGGGAAGAACAAAUGCGUAAGCAACUAUGCACGUCUUGACGGUACCUAAUCAGAAAGCCACGGCUAACUACGUGCCAGCAGCCGCGGUAAUACGUAGGUGGCAAGCGUUAUCCGGAACUAUUGGGCGUAAAGCGCGCGUAGGCGGUUUUUUAAGUCUGAUGUGAAAGACCACGGCUCAACCGUGGAGGGUCAUUGGAGUCUGGAAAACUUGAGUGCAGAAGAGGAAAGUGGAAUUCCAUGUGUCGCGGUGAAAUGCGCAGAGAUAUGGAGGACCACCAGUGACGAAGGCGACUUUCUGGUCUGUAACUGACGCAGAUGUGCGAAAGCGGGGGGAUCAAACAGG
rnacentral:rRNA from 1 species